ACACUGAUGGUGAAGUGGUUAUCAUGCUUGCCUUCCAUUUCAAGCCCUAUUCACGGGCUGGCAGCAAGCGGCAGGGGUUCGAUUCCCCUUCAGUGUA